GUCCACAUAGUUUAAUUAGAAUGGUAGUUUGUCUAACUAUUGGUGGUGUGACCUAUGGGCU
rnacentral:tRNA from 1 species